rfam:Oryza meridionalis cultivar OR44 (W2112) chromosome 7, whole genome shotgun sequence.
UUCUACUGGAGUAUAUCGCUCCGUUUGACUGUACGUCUUUUAUGAAAUUAUUUUAUAAUUAGUAUUUUCAUUGUUGUUAGAUGAUAAAACAUGGUUAAUAGUUUAUGCGUGACUUGUCUUUUUUAAAAAAAAUUUUCAUAUUUUUUUUAAAUAAAACGGACGGUUAAACGUUGGACACGGAAACCCAGAGUUUAUCUUUUU